CCUAUACAUGUAUUACAUCGCAGUCUGAUAUUACACGUGGCACACACCAUCUAACUUCACUCUGGAGCUGGAUAGAGUCAUAUAUACAUAUAGAUUUCUAUGGUCUCUGCCCGGAUCAUAUAGGGGAUUAGUAACCGUUAGGACCUCAGGAUCUCCUGCCCAAAUCAUUUAAACUAGUUUUAUAACUCAGUGAAAGGAUUCUUCAAAUAAAUCACACAUUUAGAUUUGAAAUAUCUAUUUUAUUUAUAAGGUCAAUAUUUUUAUCACAAGUAAUUAGUAUUUUUGAGCAGGAUUGUAGGUUUUUCAUUAUAUCCAGGAUAUGCUAUGUCACAUGGUAACUCCAAUUACUAUUCCACACUGCCUCCUCCUUUACCCCGAUCUCCCACGCGCUGCCUCCUCCUUUACCCCGAUAUCCCAAGUGCUGCCUUCUCCCGCACCCCGCCAUCCCAUGCGCUACCUUUUCACGCAUCCCACUAUGCCACACUGCCUCCUCCCACACCCCGCCAUCCCACACUGCC